AAUCACGCCGAAAACAACGUUUCUUGUUCGAUCACCGAAGUUAAACAAUGUCGAACCCGGUCAGUACUUAGAUAGGGCACCGCUUGGGAAUACCGGGUAGUGUAA